GAUGAACGCUGGCGGCGUGCCUAAUACAUGCAAGUCGAGCGAACAGAUAAGGAGCUUGCUCCUUUGACGUUAGCGGCGGACGGGUGAGUAACACGUGGGUAACCUACCUAUAAGACUGGGAUAACUUCGGGAAACCGGAUCUAAUACCGGAUAAUAUUUCGAACCGCAUGGUUCGAUAGUGAAAGAUGGUUUUGCUAUCACUUAUAGAUGGACCCGCGCCGUAUUAGCUAGUUGGUAAGGUAACGGCUUACCAAGGCGACGAUACGUAGCCGACCUGAGAGGGUGAUCGGUCACACUGGAACUGAGACACGGUCCAGACUCCUACGGGAGGCAGCAGUAGGGAAUCUUCCGCAAUGGGCGAAAGCCUGACGGAGCAACGCCGCGUGAGUGAUGAAGGUCUUCGGAUCGUAAAACUCUGUUAUUAGGGAAGAACAUACGUGUAAGUAACUGUGCACGUCUUGACGGUACCUAAUCAGAAAGCCACGGCUAACUACGUG
rnacentral:rRNA from 1 species